AGUAAUAACGAAGAAUUAAUACUUAAAUUACGGAGUGGGGAUACUCGUCUUCGUGAGACGACAACAAAAUCGGACCUUCGAAUAACUUUGACAGUUACUGCUUCAGUCUUGCUUUGAAUUUCGACGAGUACACAUCGCAGUUUUCGUAAAUGAAAUUGUGAAGUGGGGAUACUCUCCCACCCGUGGCG